rnacentral:rRNA from 1 species
GGGUUGUGAGGUUAAGCGACUAAGCGUACACGGUGGAUGCCCUGGCAGUCAGAGGCGAUGAAGGACGUGCUAAUCUGCGAUAAGCGUCGGURAGGUGAUAUGAACCGUUAUAACCGGCGAUUUCCGAAUGGGGAAACCCAGUGUGWUUCGWCACACUAUCAUUAACUGAAUCCAUAGGUUAAUGAGGCGAACCGGGGGAACUGAAACAUCUAAGUACCCCGAGGAAAAGAAAUCAACCGAGAUUCCCCCAGUAGCGGCGAGCGAACGGGGAGCAGCCCAGAGCCUGAAUCAGUGUGUGUGUUAGUGGAAGCGUCUGGAAAGGCGCGCGAUACAGGGUGACAGCCCCGUACACAAAAAUGCACAUGCUGUGAGCUCGAUGAGUAGGGCGGGACACGUSGUAUCCUGUCUGAAUAUGGGGGGACCAUCCUCCAAGGCUAAAUACUCCUGACUGACCGAUAGUGAACCAGUACCGUGAGGGAAAGGCGAAAAGAACCCCGGCGAGGGGAGUGAAAAAGAACCUGAAACCGUGUACGUACAAGCAGUGGGAGCACAGAGCAAUCUGUGUGACUGCGUACCUUUUGUAUAAUGGGUCAGCGACUUAUAUUCUGUAGCAAGGUUAACCGAAUAGGGGAGCCGAAGGGAAACCGAGUCUUAACUGGGCGUUAAGUUGCAGGGUAUAGACCCGAAACCCGGUGAUCUAGCCAUGGGCAGGUUGAAGGUUGGGUAACACUAACUGGAGGACCGAACCGACUAAUGUUGAAAAAUUAGCGGAUGACUUGUGGCUGGGGGUGAAAGGCCAAUCAAACCGGGAGAUAGCUGGUUCUCCCCGAAAGCUAUUUAGGUAGCGCCUCGUGAAUUCAU